rnacentral:rRNA from 1 species
AGCAGCCGCAGUAAUUCCAGCUCCAAUAGCGUAUAUUAAAGUUGCUGCAGUUAAAAAGCUCGUAGUUGAAUUUCGGGACCAAUAUGUCGGUCGUGCCUCGGUACGUACUGGCAUCGUUGGUUUCUCCCUUCUGACGAACCAUGAUGUCAUUUAUUUGGUGUCGUGGGGAAUCAGGACUGUUACUUUGAAAAAAUUAGAGUGUUUAAAGCAGGCUCACGCUUGAAUACAUUAGCAUGGAAUAAUGAAAUAGGACGUUUGAUUCUAUUUUGUUGGUUUCUAGGAUCGACGUAAUGAUUAAUAGGGAUAGUUGGGGGCAUUAGUAUUCAAUUGUCAGAGGUGAAAUUCUUGGAUUUAUUGAAGACUAACUACUGCGAAAGCAUUUGCCAAGGAUGUUUUCAUUAAUCAAGAACGAAAGUUAGGGGAUCGAAGACGAUCAGAUACCGUCGUAGUCUUAACCAUAAACUAUGCCGACUAGGGAUCGGAUGAUGUUAAUUUUUAAUGA